rnacentral:rRNA from 1 species
AGCAGUCGCCGCGGGAAUACGUAGGUGGCAAGCGUUGUCCGGAAUUAUUGGGCGUAAAGGGCUCGCAGGCGGUUUCUUAAGUCUGAUGUGAAAGCCCCCGGCUCAACCGGGGAGGGUCAUUGGAAACUGUGAAACUUGAGUGCAGAAGAGGAGAGUGGAAUUCCACGUGUAGCGGUGAAAUGCGUAGAGAUGUGGAGGAACACCAGUGGCGAAGGCGACUCUCUGGUCUGUAACUGACGCUGAGGAGCGAAAGCGUGGGGAGCGAACAGGAUUAGAUACCCGUGUAGUCCCUGUCUCUUAUAC